CCUACGGGCGGCAGCAGUGAGGAAUAUUGGUCAAUGGACGCAAGUCUGAACCAGCCAAGCCGCGUGAAGGAUGACGGCUCUAUGGGUUGUAAACUUCUUUUGUACGGGGAGAAUACUCGAUACGUGUAGCCGGAUGCAAGUAUCUUAUGAAUAAGCAUCGGCUAACUCCGUGCCAGCAGCCGCGGUAAUACGGAGGAUUCGAGCGUUAUCCGGAUUUAUUGGGUUUAAAGGGUGCGUAGGCGGUUUGAUAAGUUAGUGGUUAAAAGUCGGGGCUUAACCCCGAAUCGGCCUUUAAAACUGUUGUACUAGAGUACAGACGCGGUAGGCGGAAUAAAUGAAGUAGCGGUGAAAUGCUUAGAGAUAACAUAGAACCCCGAUUGCGAAGGCAGCUUACCAGACUAUUACUGACGUUGAGGCACGAAAGCGUGGGUAGCGAACAGGAUUAGAUACCCCUGUAGUC
rnacentral:rRNA from 1 species